GACGAACGCUGGCGGCGUGCUUAACACAUGCAAGUCGAACGGAAAGGCCCUGCUUUUGUGGGGUGCUCGAGUGGCGAACGGGUGAGUAACACGUGAGUAACCUGCCCUUGACUUUGGGAUAACUUCAGGAAACUGGGGCUAAUACCGGAUAGGAGCUCCUGCUGCAUGGUGGGGGUUGGAAAGUUUCGGCGGUUGGGGAUGGACUCGCGGCUUAUCAGCUUGUUGGUGGGGUAGUGGCUUACCAAGGCUUUGACGGGUAGCCGGCCUGUGAGGGUGACCGGCCACAUUGGGACUGAGAUACGGCCCAGACUCCUAGGGGAGGCAGCAGUGGGGAAUCUUGCACAAUGGGCGGAAGCCUGAUGCAGCAACGCCGCGUGCGGGAUGCCGGCCUUCGGGUUGUAAACCGCUUUCGCCUGUGACGAAGCGUGAGUGACGGUACUGGGUAAAGAAGCACCGGCUAACUACGUG
rnacentral:rRNA from 1 species